GGCUCGUUGGUCUAGCAGGGUAUGAUUCUCGCUUUGGGUGCGAGAGGUCCCUGGUUCAAAUCCCGGACGAGCCC